UCCGGUGAGCUGGGGAGCCAAAAGCAAUAUUCGUGUCUAGACAGCAUAUAUGAAUAUAAAACUCUUAUACAUAUAAUUUUUGAGACAUUUGUUUUGGUCUUCAAUGCCGUCUCGCCCCCCUAUUCCUAAAUCCUGACUCCGUCCCUGCCUCGACACCUGUCCCGGUCUCCUCCUCGGCCUAUUUAUACAGCUACCAACGAUCUACAAGUGCACCACUACCAACGAUCUUACGCAGACGUGGCAGAGACCUGCUUCCGGCCUCUCCUGCCGGUGUAGGAGGAGAGGGCACGGCGGACGCGAAGAACCUGUUCGUGGGCGUGGGAGGCAUGGAGGACCUUCCGGGCAUGCCGGCCAUGGGCGGCGUCUCCGUCGGGGGCUUCGGCAACAAUUAACGGAGCCGGCGUCUUCACCGGUUACACCGGGUGGGUGGUGUCGAGGGAGCCGGUGGUAUCCCGUUCGGAGGGUUCGUCGGUUCCAGCGUCCCGUUCGGCGGGGACGGAGGCGGGUAUGGCGGAGGAGGUGCGGACGGCGUCACGCCUUGAGUACUCCGAGGUUGCCGAGCUAGAGCUUGGGAUCUCUAGGCUAUGCAUACAUGCAUGUGACCAGAUCACGCGCUAGCCUUUGCCCACGUACUCACGUGAACCUAGGGUCUUUCCAAUGUACGGCGCACGAUAUGUGCGCAGUAGCACUUAGUAUUCAGCUGUGUGUACGAGCCUUGGUCUGUAGCUAGAAGUCGGUAUUUGUGUGAGAGUUGUGUAUUGUUGUGUUUGUGUUUGGUCGUGCGAAGAGCUAGCUAGUGCGAUUCUCGUGAUGUUCGUAUAUCCGAUAUUUGUGUAUUUUUGGAGUAUAUCCGAACGAAGAGCUAGCUAGUGCGAUUCUCGUGAUGUUCUCAAGUGCGUGCCCUCGCGCGCUGUUCCAAACUCCAGUUCAUUUCCCGUGUGCGCGCGCGUAUCUUUUGUCUGCGUGGCAGCAUUAACAUCUUAAAAGACUAGUAAAUGGCAAACUGAUCAUGUGUGGGGUGCGUACAAUAUACAGCCGUAGCAGCGAACAAAAACUCAGGUGGAUUGAAGAGAAAGAGAAAAAAAAAGUGUAAGCAAAAUGAAGAAAACGAGUUACUCUUGUUGAUUCUAACAAACCAAAGUUUGGAAAUAACAACAUAAUAAAAAAUUGCCCUUUUGAAGUUUGGGGAUAUAAAACCUGGAUGUCCAAUCUAUUCUCGUGUGAAGUUUUACAAAAAUAUAUCAGGAACCAUAUCUGUG
rnacentral:lncRNA from 1 species